UACGUAGGAGACGAGCGUUGUCCGGAGUUACUGGGCGUAAAGGGUGCGCAGGUGGCGGCGCGCGUGGGGGGUGAAAUCGCCCGGCUUAACUGGGCGGGGGCCUUCCAGACGGCGUGGCUUGAGCAGCGGAGGGGGACGUGGAAUUCCGGGUGGAGCGGUGAAAUGCGUAGAGAGUCCGGAGGAACACCGACGGCGCAGGCAGCGUCCUGGCCGCUUGCUGACAC
rnacentral:rRNA from 1 species